UACGUAGGGCGCAAGCGUUGUCCGGAAUUAUUGGGCGUAAAGAGCUCGUAGGCGGCUUGUCACGUCGGAUGUGAAAGCCCGGGGCUUAACUCCGGGUCUGCAUUCGAUACGGGCAGGCUAGAGUUCGGUAGGGGAGAUCGGAAUUCCUGGUGUAGCGGUGAAAUGCGCAGAUAUCAGGAGGAACACCGGUGGCGAAGGCGGAUCUCUGGGCCGAUACUGACGCUGAGGAGCGAAAGCAUGGGGAGCGAACAGG
rnacentral:rRNA from 1 species